CAUCGUACUUGUGUAGAAGUUGCAGAGAGCUACCAGAGCAGUGAAAUUGAGAAGUGAAGGUUCAAAGAUGCACCUCCCAGAGGCUGUAAAUGUAAGUGAUGGAAUUUGACAUUCACAGGGAUCAACAGAGAGGAAAAGACAAGAAGGGAGAGAAAAGUGCUGCAUUUCAUUACACUUUUCCUCACCCUGCUACAUCCAGGCCUUUGUUUCCAGGGUGGGCUGGAAUCCUUUAAAACAAGCACUCAUCUAUACUAUUAUUCCUUCCUUCCUCUUUGGAGCUGUGAAAGGCCACCGGGGCCUGUCUCCACGACUCUCCCUAUAAAGGUAAGCAGUUACAAGAGCUAUGCAGGAAGUAGCAUGUAAGACAGGA
rnacentral:lncRNA from 1 species